UAAUACCGGCACCCCAAGUGGUCGUCGCUUUUAUUGGGCCUAAAACGUCCGUCGCCUGUUUGGUACAUUCGUGGGUAAAUCAACCAGCUUAACUGGUUGAAUUCUGCGAGGACGGCCAGACUAGGGACCGGGAGAGGUAUGGGGUACUCUCAGGGUAGGGGUAAAAUCCAGUCAUCCUGAGGGGACCACCUGUUGCGAAGGCGCCAUACUAGAACGGAUCCGACGGUCAGGGACGAAGCCUAGGGGCACGAACCGGAUUAGAUACCCGGGUAGUCCUAGGUGUAAACGCUGUGGACUUGGUGUUGGGGACUCCACGAGUGUCCCCAGUGCCGUAGUGAAGAUGUUAAGUCCACUGCCUGGGGAGUACGGUCGCAAGGCUG
rnacentral:rRNA from 1 species